rnacentral:sRNA from 1 species
UAGGAUCAAUUUUUAGAAAUCUUGAUUCAAUGAAAGAUCUACAUUUAGCAAUGUACAGUCUUUUUACCUUCCGAGUCGUAGACCUAUUUUUCAAGUCCUAAAACAUAGAGUUACUAUGGUGGCUACUUAGAGAUCAACAUAAACAAUCAGAAUGACAUAAAAUGACACCCUAAAUGUUGACGGUCAAGAUGACAACGCUUACUUGGCACUGAAUGGAUGCUCUAUGACUAAGCCUACACAACAUUUUGUUCCUGGAUAGCCUGAAGAGUCAAACAAAUUGAUGGCUGCUCGACGCUCUACAGAGUCAAGAAUGUUAAAAGUCGAAAAUAAAGUCAAACAAAUUCUACCUUUGAAAAAACCAGAAUGGAUUGUGGGAUGGAAUUCAUCAAAUAUUCACGAAGAUACAGAUAUUGUGACAUGGAUGUCUGGAGACACACAGCAGACUAAACAUGGCAGUAAGUCUAAUUGCCAAUAAUUCUGGUUGGCAGUUAGUCUGGUUGGCAGUAAUUCUGGUGGCAGUAAGUCUGGUUGGCAGUAAGUCUGGUUGGCAGUAAGUCUGGUUGGCAGUAAGUCUGGUUGGCAGUAAG